CGAUAGAGGUUGCGGAGAUUAAGAGUAGCGGUUCGCACAGUGUGGGAACUUAGGACCGUGAAAGGAUGAUCCGCCGAAGUUUGCCCGGCACCCGAGCCCGGCAUACUGGGACGGCGUAAUAAGAUGCGCCGGACUGUCACGCAAGUGGAGAGCUAUCAU
rnacentral:ncRNA from 1 species